UCAGGGCUGCAUGGCAGGGGGUCACGGCGGCCUGGCACUGGGGUAGCCUGGAAGAGCCUGGCACCGCAUGGCACGAAGGUGUGGGGCAGGGCAGCCCAGCAGGGGAGAAGUGAGGCCGAUUCGGGGAGUCCCAGCAGGGGAGAGGUGAGAGCGAUGGGGGGGGUCCCAGCAGGGGAGAGGUGAGGGCAAUUUGGGGAGUCCCGGCAGGGGAGAGGUGAGGCCGAUUCAGGGAGUCCUGGCAGGGGAGAGGUGAGGUCGAUGGUGGGGGGUCCCGGCAGCAGAGAGGUGAGGCCGAUUCGGGGAGUCUCAACAAGGGAGAGGUGAGGACGAUUCGGGGGGUCCCGGCAGGGGAGAGGUUAGAUGAAUUUGGGGGGGUCCUGGCAGGGGAGAGAUUAGAUGAAUUCGGGGGGUCCCCAGGCUCUCAUGUC